rnacentral:rRNA from 1 species
AAUGAACGCUGGCGGCAGGCCUAACACAUGCAAGUCGAACGAGUGGCGGACGGGUGAGUAAUGUCUGGGAAACUGCCCGAUGGAGGGGGAUAACUACUGGAAACAGUAGCUAAUACCGCAUACCAUCGGAUUUGCCCAGAUUGGAUUCGCUAGUAGGUGGGGUAACGGCUCACCUAGGCGACGAUCCCUAGCUGGUCUGCGAGGAUGAACAGCCACACUGGAACUGAGACACGGGCCAGACUCCUACGGGAGGCAGCAGUGGGGAAUAUUGCACAAUGGGCGAAAGCCUGAUGCAGCCAUGCCGCGUGUAUGAAGAAGGUCUUCGGGUUGUAAAGUACUUUUAGCGAGGAGGCGGUACUCGCAGAAGAAGCACCGGCUAACUCCGUGCCAGCAGCCGCGGUAAUAC